rnacentral:lncRNA from 1 species
UAAUUUCUUAUAUAAAUGUUAUGAGCUAAUUUGUUAAAUCGUGACUAAUUUUACAAAUGUGUAAACUCUAAAGACUAAAUAUUAUUCCUAAAAAAUUCGCUUUUUUUCUUCAAGCUAUUUGCUUUUUAUAUUUUGUUUUGCUCAGCGGCGGUGCCAACAUUCGGGCUGGCUAUCGCCCACCUUUUUCCUCUCCAAUCAA